GGCUCCAUCAUAGUUGAAACAUUGGUUCCCAUAUGAUCACUGAAGUUAAGCAAUGUUGAGCCUGGUCAAUACUUAGUUGGGUAACCACUUGGGAAUACCAGGUGUUGUAA